rnacentral:misc_RNA from 1 species
GUGAAGUCUCUCAAACCUCAAACAAAAACUAUCUUAAUUGGAGAGGUCAUUUUAAAAUCUACAUUGGAUGAAGGCACAAUCUAUUCAAACAAUAACCCAUUUGUACAAAAAUAGAUGAAGAAAAUCAACAAUAGAGUAUAGAAAAAUGGGAAUGGGAGCUCACUCACCAGCACUCAGGAGGUGUAACCUUCGAAUGGCCUUCCAAGGGAUAACAAACGCACUAGAAAGAAAGGAAGAAGAGAGGCGAGGCGAGUGGGGCUAGCGAUUGGGAGAAAAAGAGAGGAGAAGAAAGAAAUGCAAUGGGAGUGAAGUGACAGUAGCACCAAGGAGAACAGAAUAGAAUGGAGAUAACAAUCAGCAGAAACUAAGAAAGAGAUAGGAAGGCCUGAAUGGCUAAACCUGUAGGAUUAAAUGAUACAAAAGGCCCACGAACCUUAAAAUGCAAUCAUUAGUCUACCUAAUCUGUUGUUCGGUUAUAAUGGGCAAGAAAAUCGAAUUGAAAACUGAAUUUAUUAAAAAUUAUUAAUCGAACUAAAUCGUUAGGACUGAAAAACCAAUCAAUUAAAGUGAAAUGGCGAGGUUCGAUUCAAUUUAUCAAUUUAAACUAAAUACUGCUCAGGCCUAAUGGACGCCCCUCUCCAAUAGUUAGUUUUUUU